rnacentral:rRNA from 1 species
AUUGAACGCUGGCGGAAUGCUUUACACAUGCAAGUCGAACGGCAGCACGGACUUCGGUCUGGUGGCGAGUGGCGAACGGGUGAGUAAUGUAUCGGAACGUGCCCAGUCGUGGGGGACAACGUAGUGAAAAUUACGCUAAUACCGCAUACGAUCUAUGGAUGAAAGCGGGGGAUCGCAAGACCUCGCGCGAUUGGAGCGGCCGAUAUCAGAUUAGGUAGUUGGUGGGGUAAAGGCCCACCAAGCCAACGAUCUGUAGCUGGUCUGAGGGGACGACCAGCCACACUGGAACUGAGACACGGUCCAGACUCCUACGGGAGGCAGCAGUGGGGAAUUUUGGACAAUGGGCGAAAGCCUGAUCCAGCCAUUCCGCGUGCAGGAUGAAGGCCCUCGGGUUGUAAACUGCUUUUGUACAGAACGAAAAGGUUUCUACUAAUACUAGGAGCUCAUGACGGUACUGUAAGAAUAAGCACCGGCUAACUACGUGCCAGCCGCCGCGGUAA